GAAGCGGUGGCUCAAUGGUAGAGCUUUCGACUCCAAUAAUCGAAGGGUUGCAGGUUCAAUUCCUGUCCGUUUCA
rnacentral:tRNA from 2 species